CCUACGGGGGGCAGCAGUGAGGAAUAUUGGUCAAUGGUCGGGAGACUGAACCAGCCAAGCCGCGUGAGGGAUGAAGGUACAGAGUAUCGUAAACCUCUUUUGUCAGGGAACAAAGGCGGGGACGUGUCCCCGGAUGAGUGUACCUGAAGAAAAAGCAUCGGCUAACUCCGUGCCAGCAGCCGCGGUAAGACGGAGGAUGCGAGCGUUAUCCGGAUUUAUUGGGUUCAAAGGGUGGGCAGGCGGUCUGGUAAGUCAGCGGUCAAAGCCCGGGGCUCACCCCCGGCCCGCCGUUGAAACUGGCAGUCUCGAGUUGGCGCGAGGUAUGUGGACUGCGCGGUGUAGCGGU
rnacentral:rRNA from 1 species